rnacentral:rRNA from 1 species
GAUGAACGCUAGCUAUAGGCUUAACACAUGCAAGUCGAGGGGAAACGGCAUUAUGUGCUUGCACAUUUUGGACGUCGACCGGCGCACGGGUGAGUAUCGCGUAUCCAACCUGCCCUUUACUUGGGGAUACCCCGUUGAAAGACGGCCUAAUACCCGAUGUUGUUCAUUGAUGGCAUCUGAUUUGAACCAAAGAUUUAUCGGUAAAGGAUGGGGAUGCGUCUGAUUAGCUUGUUGGUGAGGUAACGGCUCACCAAGGCUACGAUCAGUAGGGGUUCUGAGAGGAAGGUCCCCCACAUUGGAACUGAGACACGGUCCAAACUCCUACGGGAGGCAGCAGUGAGGAAUAUUGGUCAAUGGACGUAAGUCUGAACCAGCCAAGUAGCGUGCAGGAUGACGGCCCUAUGGGUUGUAAACUGCUUUUGUUAGGGAGUAAAUGAAGGCACGUGUGCUUUUUUGCAUUUACCUUUCGAAUAAGGACCGGCUAAUUCCGUGCCAGCAGCCGCGGUAAUACGGAAGGUCCAGGCGUUAUCCGGAUUUAUUGGGUUUAAAGGGAGUGUAGGCGGUUUGUUAAGCGUGUUGUGAAAUUUAGGUGCUCAACAUUUAACUUGCAGCGCGAACUGGCGAACUUGAGUGCACACAACGUAUGCGGAAUUCAUGGUGUAGCGGUGAAAUGCUUAGAUAUCAUGAAGAACUCCGAUUGCGAAGGCAGCGUACGGGAGUGUAACUGACGCUUAAGCUCGAAGGUGCGGGUAUCGAACAGG